UACAGAGGUGGCAAGCGUUGUUCGGAAUUACUGGGCGUAAAGAGCGUGUAGGCGGCCCGGUAAGUCCGCUGUAAAAGUCAAAGGCUCAACCUUUGAAUGUCAGUGGAUACUGCCGGGCUAGAGUCCGGAAGAGGCGAGUGGAACUCCUGGUGUAGCGGUGGAAUGCGCAGAUAUCAGGAAGAACACCAACGGCGAAGGCAGCUCGCUGGGACGGUACUGACGCUGAGACGCGAAAGCGUGGGGAGCGAACAGG
rnacentral:rRNA from 1 species